GUAGCUUGCUAUGGUAUAACUUAUUGGCAGACGGGUGAGUAAUGUAUAGGAAUCUACCUAUUAGUACGGAAUAAUUGUUGGAAACGGCAACUAAUACCGUAUACGCCCUACGGGGGAAAAAUUUAUUGCUAUUAGAUGAGCCUAUAUUAGAUUAGCUAGUUGGUGGAGUAAUAGCCUACCAAGGCAAUGAUCUAUAGCUGAUCUGAGAGGAUGAUCAGCCACACUGGAACUGAGAUACGGUCCAGACUCCUACGGGAGGCAGCAGUGGGGAAUAUUGGACAAUGGGCGAAAGCCUGAUCCAGCCAUGCCGCAUGAGUGAAGAAGGCCUUUGGGUUGUAAAGCUCUUUUAGUGAGGAAGAUAAUGACGGUACUCACAGAAGAAGUCCUGGCUAACUCCGUGCCAGCAGCCGCGGUAAUACGGAGAGGGCUAGCGUUAUUCUGAAUUAUUGGGCGUAAAGGGCGCGUAGGCGGAUUAGUAAGUUAAAAGUGAAAUCCCAAGGCUCAACCUUGGAAUUGCUUUUAAAACUGCUAAUCUAGAGAUUGAAAGAGGAUAGAGGAAUUCCUAGUGUAGAGGUGAAAUUCGUAAAUAUUAGGAGGAACACCAGUGGCGAAGGCGUCUAUCUGGUUCUAAUCUGACGCUGAUGCGCGAACGCGUGGGGAGCAAACAAGAUUACAUACCCUGGUAGUCCACGCUGUAAACAAUGAAUGUUAAAUAUGG
rnacentral:rRNA from 1 species